GAGAGGGUUUAACCAGACUGCUAACCUGGUAUCCCAAAUCUAACCACUUGGCCCUCUUA
rnacentral:tRNA from 1 species